GAUGAACGCUAGCGGGAGGCCUAACACAUGCAAGCCGAGCGGGAUUUGUUGGUUAGCUUGCUAACUAACAAUGAGAGCGGCGUACGGGUGCGUAGCACGUGUGCAACCUGCCUUUAUCUGGGGGAUAGCCUUUCGAAAGGAAGAUUAAUACCCCAUAACAUAUUGAUUGGCAUCAGUUAAUAUUGAAAGCUCCGGCGGAUAGAGAUGGGCACGCGUAAGAUUAGCUAGUUGGUGAGGUAACGGCUCACCAAGGCUGCGAUCUUUAGGGGGCCUGAGAGGGUGCUCCCCCACACUGGUACUGAGACACGGACCAGACUCCUACGGGAGGCAGCAGUGAGGAAUAUUGGACAAUGGGUGAGAGCCUGAUCCAGCCAUCCCGCGUGAAGGACUAAGGACCUAUGGUUUGUAAACUUCUUUUAUACAGGGAUAAACCUACUCUCGUGAGGGUAGCUGAAGGUACUGUAUGAAUAAGCACCGGCUAACUCCGUG
rnacentral:rRNA from 1 species